rnacentral:rRNA from 1 species
UACGUAGGGGGCAAGCGUUGUCCGGAUUUAUUGGGCGUAAAGAGCGUGUAGGCGGCUUGGUAGGUCCGCUGUGAAAACUCGAGGCUCAACCUCGAGAUGUCGGCGGAAACCACUUGGCUAGAGUCCGGAAGAGGAGAGUGGAAUUCCUGGUGUAGCGGUGAAAUGCGCAGAUAUCAGGAAGAACACCUAUGGCGAAGGCAGCUCUCUGGGACGGUACUGGACGCUGAGACGCGAAAAGCGUGGGGAGCGAACAGG